GGAUGCCCUCAUGGUCCCGCUCCUUUCGCUUUGAACCUGGUCUCGGAAGUAAAUGGGAGAGUGGGAGUGGGGGUGGCGGGGCAAUCCAUUUUUAUAUGCGGCUCGGGUAGAGUGCAGCGAGGAACACAAUCUAUUGUUUAUCCGGUGGUGGUGGUGUCAUGGUGGGGCCGUAAUCUAUGAUGAAAGAACAAGAUUGCUACUCCAAUGACUCUACUCGACUCUAUCGCAUUAAAAUAAUGAUUCAGCAAGGGCAGAAGUGGAUGUCAAUUUUUGACUGGUGACUAAAAAAUGUGGACAGUGGCCUUUAAACUUUACUCUCUUUUCUUUGGAUCUUUUAUCAAGUUGCAGAGCUCACAGGAAGUUGUGGCCACCAAAGUCUCCUCCUCCUCCUCCUCUUUACCCAAGUCGUAUUCCCCUGCCUCUCUGUGUUCUUUCGAGUCCUUUGGAAGGUUAGCAUUUGAUAGAGGAGAACUCAGAAGCAAUGGGGGUCCGCAGGCUGGUCCCACUUACAUUGGUUCUAUCCUAUUACAAGGCUGGCAAGUGAAACCGGAGGUCAAGGACGUCAUGCUGCACAUGAACAAUGGUUGACCUAUGCUUUAUUGUAUUGUUACAAGUCUUGAAGGUCGGACAAUUCAUUAUUUGCAAAGGAUAUAUUAACCAUUCCAAAAUAUGCGAUCUUUUAGGUGUACUAUUGAAAAUAUUGUGCAGAAUUUUCAAGCACCAAGCAGAAAACAUUAUUCCGCAAAACCUUCAUAACAUGGUGGUGCCAAGAUGUGCAAGUGAUGCUGUUCGACAAGCACCCAUCUGAAAAUUUCUAGCAAUCUUUGCCUGUUUGAAUCCCUCCAAAGAUUUGAUGCUCAGCUUAUACCACGGAAAUCUUGUUGCAACACACACCAAAGAAUUCCCUGGUUUGACUACGGAGCUUGUUCUUCAUGAACCUCAUUCUCAUUUCUAUCUUAUGGUGCUGGCUAUGCGUCUGCACAUUUAGAUGGCGAAUGAUGACACUCCAUAUUUGUGGUACCACAUGGCAUUGUUGCUUGCUUGGAUGCUGUCCAAGUAAAGAAGGUCUGUUCAUUGAAAGAAAGACCUUGUUUCUACCAAAUGCUGGUGCUGGUGACACUGGAACUAUUAUCUACAUAAAUUUCUCUUGUUGCAUUGGGAAUUCCCAUUGCUUGAAUAAAUCGAUAGAAUGAUUCAAAUUAACUAUCAAAUGCAUUCUACA